rnacentral:misc_RNA from 1 species
GAUGAAGAACGCAGCGAAAUGCGAUAAGUAAUGCGAAUUGCAGAAUUCAGUGAGUCAUCGAAUCUUUGAACGCACAUUGCGCCCCUUGGUAUCCCGAGGGGCAUGCCUGUUCGAGCGUCAUUUCACCACUCAAGCCUGGCUUGGUGUUGGGCGACGUCCCCUUUGGGGACGCGCCUCGAAACGCUCGGCGGCGUGGCACCGGCUUUAAGCGUAGCAGAAUCUUUCGCUUUGGAAGUCGGGGCCCCGUCUGCCGGAAGACCUACUCGCAAGGUUGACCUCGGAUCAGGCAGGGAUACCCGCUGAACUUAAGCAUAUCAAUAAGCGGAGGA